rnacentral:misc_RNA from 1 species
AACUUUUAACAACGGAUCUCUUGGCUCUCGCAUCGAUGAAGAACGCAGCGAAAUGCGAUAAGUAAUGUGAAUUGCAGACCUCAGUGAAUCAUCGAAUCUUUGAACGCACAUUGCACUCUCUGGUAUUCCGGAGAGUAUGCCUGCUUCAGUAUCAGUAAACACCAUCAAACAACUCCUUGGAGGGGUUUGGAUUUGAGCGUUGCCGAGAAAACUCACCUUUUUUCGGCCCGCUCGAAAUGCAAGUACACAGGACAGGAUCCUAGACCCCUGAGGUGGGAAAACAAAGCGUAGUAGUUGACUUGACUGUCUUCUUUCGCUGAAAAAGAACACCCGGUUUUUAGGACCUUGCUGUGCAAAUUCGCAGGAAGAAAAGUAAUAUUCUUUUCACUUCUUGAUCUGAAAUCAGGUAGGACUACCCGCUGAACUUAAGCAUAUCAAUAAGCGGAGGCU